GAUUUCAGUAACACACAGGGUGCUCAUGUUAUAAGGGUACAGAAUCCUUCCAGAAAACGACCACUGGGCAGAUCAAGAAGAAGAUGGGAGGAUAACAUCAAGAUGGAUCUUAGGGAGCUACCCGAGAGAUGACGACCUGCCAACACCGGAGAUCGACCUUCUGAAUGAAGGCCGCGCCAGAAGAGCAUCAGAGGGCGAAGAAGGAUCGCCUUCUAGUGGACUGAGGAAUGACCAGGCCACGGAAUCAACGAUGCCAGAAAGCAUAGAGAAUUAAUUUUAGUUAAGAAGCUGUUCAAUUAAGAACAUGAUUUCUAAAAGAUUUGAAGUUGUAUAGAAUCAAUUUGUCCACGGUGGUCUAGCGGUCAGAACACUAGCCUUGUAAGCCUGGGGUCCCGGGUUCAAUUCCCGGUGGUGCUCAAAUUUAUAACUUGUGUUGGGCAAGGCCGUGGUCUAAGCAUCACGG